rnacentral:rRNA from 1 species
UACGGAGGGUGCAAGCGUUGUCCGGAUUUAUUGGGUUUAAAGGGUGCGUAGGUGGCCUUAUAAGUCAGUGGUGAAAGUCUGCAGCUUAACUGUAGAACUGCCAUUGAUACUGUAGGGCUUGAGUAUUGAUGAGGUAGGCGGAAUUGAUAGUGUAGCGGUGAAAUGCAUAGAUAUUAUCAAGAACACCGAUUGCGAAGGCAGCUUACUAAGGAAUAACUGACACUGAGGCACGAAAGCGUGGGGAUCAAACAGGAUUAGAUACCCCAGUAGUCC